AUGAUGAUUUUGAACUGGAGUCUCAUCCAGCAGACGCUGCUGAAGAGCGGGGCGGGAGGGGGGGACAGGCGUGUCGGGGGGCGCGGGCCCGCUCGUCCCCGCAGGACAGGGAGGCUGCAAGAUAACGAACUCCGUCCGACUGGUCCUCCCUGCAAAGUUGCUGAAAAUCGAUCAAUAGGCUUUGUGGUAAGGGCUGGAGAAGGAGAAGGAGGAGGAGGAGGAGGAGGAGGAGAAGGAGAAGGAGGAGGAGGAGGAGAAGAGAAGGAGGAGGAGGAGGAGGAGGAGGAGGAGAAGGAGGAGGAGGAGAAGAGAAGGAGGAGGAGAAGAGAAGGAGGAGGAGGAGGAGGAGAAGGAGAAGGAGGAGGAGGAGGAGGAGAAGGAGGAGGAGGAGGAGGAGAAGGAGGAGGAGGAGGAGGAGAAGGAGGAGGAGGAGAAGGAGGAGGAGGAGAAGAGAAGGAGGAGGAGGAGGAGGAGAAGGAGGAGGAGGAGAAGAGAAGGAGGAGGAGAAGAGAAGGAGGAGGAGAAGAGAAGGAAGAGGAGGAGGAGAAGGAGGAGGAGGAGGAGGAGAAGGAGGAGGAGGAGAAGGAGGAGGAGGAGAAGAGAAGGAGGAGGAGAAGACGAAGGAGGAGGCGGAGGAGGAGGAGAAGGAGAAGGAGGAGGAGGAGGAGGAGGAGGAGGAGGAGGAGGAGGAGGAGUAGGAGGAGGAGGAGGAGGACUGGCCUCCCAGGUCUAUAUUCCCCUUUGAUGCUGGUGGCCAGCAGCGGGCCCCUCUCCUCCACAGCGGCUGAAACACUCGUACCUACACAGAAAACUCUAGUUUUCUCUCGUCCAUGGAAUAAAUGGAGCAACGAGGAGACGCGCGCAGAUGAUCCAGCACCUGUGAACACCACUAAGAGCUACAAUGAGGGGUGCCCUGCGGCCUGCACACCGGGCGCCCCACCAGGCCUCCGCAGGCUGUCCCCGGCCUGGUCACUGCGCGGUGGCUGCUGUCCCGGCCUCGAGCUCCUGCCGGCGCCCCGAGCUGCGCCCACCCGGACUGUCCCGGGGCCGGCGGGCUGCGGUCCCCCCUCCGCAGGAGCAGGUGACGGGCCACUGUGCCACCCGCGGCCCACGACCCGCCCCCGGGCUUCCCGCCGCCUUGUGGCAUUAGCCCUUCCGUGGGGCAGUCGUGCCACCGGGCCACCGGGCUGCACGCUCCCCGGACACGGUCAGCCUCGGCACCAGCACGGCCACCAUGGCCCGUGA
rnacentral:lncRNA from 12 species